UGUGGGCUUCCCUGGUGGCGCAGUGGUUGAGAGUCCGCCUGCCGAUGCAGGGGACACGGGUUCGUACCCUGGUCCGGGAAGAUCCCACAUGCCGCAAAGUGGCUGGGCCCGUGAGCCAUGGCCGCUGAGCCUGAGCGUCCGGAGCCUGUGCUCCGCAACGGGAGAGGCCACAACAGUGAGAGGCCCGCGUACCGCAAAAAAAAACCAAAAACAGAUUUGAGCAGGGCCUUAUAGAGAUUGAAAAGCAAAGAAACGUUCCCCCUUUUUUUCUGCCAUUUUAUCUUAAAGGCCCACAGUUGCAUUGCCACUGCUGGUUGCUGUGUAAAAUUAGUGUUUCUCAGAAGUUUACCCACUUCCGUAUUUUUAAAAUACCUAGUAUGUACCAGACGUUGCCACAGGUCCUAAGGAAGAUGGGCCACACCUAGGUAAGAGGAAACCUAAAAGUGGUUAAAUUAUGAAGGAAAUCAGGAAGUAUCUCGCCCACAGUUCAGGCUGAUGGUACAUGUUUAACAGCUGGCAGGGGGAGGAGUGCCUAUGUAGACACAUACAUUUAUUAUGAAUUUUAACUAGUAUAAAGCAUGUGCAGUACACAGCCUACCAAAAAUGGUAAAACACAGUACUCUUUCUUGUAAAUGCCCUGGAGCCAUUUGAUUCUCCGAUGUUGCUAUUGCUUAUUUUUGCUGAACUCUUGUAUCCGUGGCCAACCUAUGGUUAAAAUUCAAUCAUAGUCUAUCAAAUUGAGUUGUCUCCCAACCCACUGUUUUUCCAAUAAAUUUAUUAUCAUUAAGUGUAAUAUGUGAUACAAACUUUGGUUGAUUUAAUCACAUCAAUGAGUGAGACAGAAAUGAACCAAAAAGAUAUAGAUCUUUAUUCAUCAGUGAUGUGAGCAAUUUCUUUGCUGUAUUGGAUCAUUUUUCCAGUACUGGACGAAUGUUUUGUGCCAGUCAUAAUAUAAUGGCUAAAAACUGGACACAAUUUUAAGUUUAGCUGCACUGUUAAUUUUCUCCAUUAUUAGGCUAGGGGUUGGGAAAUGUUUCUACAAAGGGCCAGAUACAUAUUUGCCGGACACCAAUGGUCUCUGGUACAUAGUCUUUGUUUUAUAUUUUAUCAACCUUUAAAAAUGUAAAAGCCAUUCUUCGCUUGAGCAAGGGCCUCACUUGGCCUUCAGUCUCUGAAUUGUAGCAUUUUCAGAGUUCCACAGUGUAACUAUUUCUCUAAUGGCCAACGUGGGAGUAUCUGAACCAACUUGAAAUACCUUGAAUGCAGAGUUAGGGAAAGUAUUUCCACCAUACAGGUACAAGAGAUGUGAGUAACCUCAAAAGCACGGGUUUUAGUAAAGUAAUCAUGAAGUGGUGAGUUUUGAGACCUUGUUUUUGAUAGAAUUGAUUUCACUCUAAGUUUAUAUAAUUCAAUUUUUUAUAACAUCUGUGUUUAACAGCUAGCUCGUGGAAUUCCUGAAUAUUUAACAAUCAGCUCUAACUAGCUCUAACUCCACACUGGUCUAACCUCUAAGUGGACCUGGGGGUGGGUAAGCCAGGCUUCUGGGAGGGUAGGCGAUGUUCUGUUUCUGGGUUAAACUUAGACACACGGGAAGGUGAAACACCCCUGCCCCCCCCCCAUGAGUCAAUGCCCUGUAUCAUCACCUCCCCAUGAGUGUAGGCGGGGCCUGCAAUGUGCUUCUAAUCAGUAGAAUUUGGUGAAAGGACUGUGAUGUCAUCCCUUGCCUUUGGGUCGCAUCGUAUGUAAAGGGAGUUGGAUGUCACGCCCAACACUCCCAGGACCCCAUGACAACUGGAGACAGACUCUCCCGCUGGCCUCUCGGGAGCAAACAGCCAUGUUGUGAACGGCCCCAGAGAAGGACGCUUGGCAGGGAACCAUGGAGCUUCUGGGACCUGAGGGCAACCAGCAGCCCAGAAGAAGCUGGGCCAGCACCUCAAUCGUGGCCACGUGGGACCCUGAGCAGAAGGCCAGCUGAGCAGUAUACCGGGACUGCUGCCCCACAGACACCAAGGGGCGGUGACAGAGGAUGAGCAGCGCAGAGCCUGGGACGCUGCAACCAUCAGGCUUCCGGCGUCAUCAUCAACCGAGGAAGCUGGAGCCCUGGGUCAAGCCACACCGAAAUUCCAUCUGUACCCAGAUCCCAGCAACACAGCACUGGGGCUUGGAUGAUGGACACUCAGCUCAGAGGAACUUAGACUCCAUGAGAUGCAAUCAGCAAAAGUGGGAAACAGACUCUGGGAAACUUUAAUGAACAAGGAUACGCACUGAAUCAUAGGAAAUGAUAUAAUGCCUGAGAUUGGCUUCAAAAUAAUACGAGAGGAUUUGGGCGGCUUAUAGAUGAAACAAGGCUGUGUAUACGGAUCCCUGCUGGAGCUGGGUUUUGGGUACAUGGAGUCUUUGAAAUCGGUGUGUAGCGUGUUUUACAUGGACAGCACAUCUCACUUUGGCUGGGUCCCACUUCCAGUGCUCAAGAGCUAUAAAUGAUAAAGCGGCUAUAAAUUAUCCCUCUGGGGGUUCUGCGUGUAUUCUGGGUCGUGAAGCCUUAGAAGGACCGUCGCUUCUGCCCAGCUGCAUCCUCAGGGUUGUAGCAAAGGCUCCCGCCGAGGGCACAACCCCAGUGGCUCAUCAGUCAGGGGCUGGUUUUGUCUGCAGUGGGGACCCUCCACUGGGAUGACACCACUGACUGGGCACUCGGAGGGCCUGACUUCAAGCCGCUGAUUUAAAAACCUGGCGUGACCUGUUCACCGGGUACAAAGGUGACUUAUGCAGCCCAUCGGAUGUCUCUCCAGAAGAGCGGGCCCCUGAGCGCUUAGAGGAUUGAGCCUGUCUGUGGUGGAAAUAACAGCACAAAAACCUCUGCGGAGAAGCAGAAACAGAGCUGCUGAAUUACUGCUUGGAAUGACCUCUGUUUCCAUUCCUGCACGCACGGAGCUUACAUUGGUCCAUAACACACCGCUCCCAGCCACGCAAGAAAAAAGCUAGACGAGCUGAAGAAUCAAAACUCGUCUUAGAUCUGCCAGAGCGGUGAGGUCACAGGGCAAACCGCCGCCCUAGGUUGUUUGGACAGACGGACGAAUGCAGAGUCACGAUGCACGAAGCCAGAGAACAGGAAACGGUGAGGGGAACCCAGGGCUGGGUGGACAGAUCACACACUCCUGGGGGCCCGUCCUGGGGGCCCUGACACUGCCAUGAGUUUUACCACUCGAAGCCCUGCCAGGUUUUCACAGUAAAGAUCAGGAAAAAACCAAAUCCCCUUGAGCUUCCUUCCAUCAGGGGAGGAAAACAGGCAUCGUCUCUGUAAGGCUCGCCUGGCUGAGCAGCUUCUGGGGGCUUCUGCGGAGCUGGCCCUCGGGCUAAGAGUCUUGCUUUCCUUAUUUCCAAGUCUAUUUUUACAAAACACUCUGCAUUUGUUGAGGUCACAGGAGUGACUCUCUCAGUGUCCUCCAACAGCCCUAAGCCCAUUUCACAGCAGAGGAAACUGAGGCCCAGUGGCCAAGUAACUUGUUCGAGGGCACAGAGCUGGUUAGCGGUGGGGCUGGCGCCCCUCCCCCAGCACCUUCGUUCCGCUUUGUCUUGACAUGGAGAAUCCUCCAGGCUCAGGCGAACGUCUGGAAGACGCAGCCCUGCCAGCGUCUCACGAGCGACCCCGAGCCAGGACCACCCCACUGGGUCACCCCCAAAUUCCUGACGCACGGACACUGUGAGAUGGUACACGUUGAUUGGUUUCAGCUGCUACGUUUUGGAACCGUUUGCUGUUACACAGCCACGGAUGAGUAACACACAGAACAUCUUUUUUUUUUCCCUGAGCGCCAACACCCGAGUGUUCUGUCAAGAGUAGUUUUCACCUCGGCUUUGUCUGAACAAGUUUCCUGUGGUGUCGAAGUCAGACAUGUCUUUUCCUGAAUUAGCGUUUAAGAAAUAUGAUCGGUUCUAAAUGACAGGGUGGCCAGGGGAGGCUGAAAAGAAAAACAAGCCCACCUGUUCCAUGUGAGCUGAGGACACAGGGGCCAUGUCUCUCUCAGGUUUUGGGGGCCUCAGAUGGGUGAGGAAGUUUCUUGGAGGAUCAUUCUGUCUGUCUGUCUCUAUCUUCUGUAGUGAUACAAAAAUGCGGUCCUUCUCGGGAGUGGUCAGAGGCCCAUCACUGUGUGAUGUAAGGCCCCAGGGACUCAGUGGGCAGACAGGAAGCAGCACUGGGGACGCAGAGAGGAUCCAGAAGGAUAUAGAAGCAGCAGGAAGUGACGUUCAGCAGACAGGAAGAGGAAGGGGACGCUGAAAGCACAGAGAACGCUCUGGGCUCAUCGCUCAUUUGCCAGAUGCACGUCGAGCUUCAGGCCCUCGAAGCUGUGAGUGUGGACCCGCCGCUUUCAGAUUCUGAGGCUUCCCAGCCCAUCUGCCCACCUUCAGGCCCAGCCAGGACCAGGUGGAGGGGUUUCCACCGGGCCCCUGUCUUGGGAUGGGGAACAGCAGGCCAAGCGAGGACCCCUUCGGCUCAGGGCAGGAGGGUGACCCCAUCGGCGCUUUUUGCGGGGGUGUCGUAUGGCUCUGCCCGGACCACGUUGGUGUGAUUCCCUGACUUUGGAGGAUGAAGGGAGGAGGGGGCAGACGCAGCCCAGCCACAUCCCGCCCCCAGAGCAGCACCGUCCAGAACUUUCUGCAGUUAUGGGAACUUUCUUCAUCUGCGCUGUUCAGUACAGCAGCCAUUGGCCACGUGGGUCUCCAGAUCCAGCUCUUGGAAUGUGGCUCGUGCCGCGUUUCACAAGGAAGGGUUUCAUUUUAUUUCAUUUUCGUUAGAGUAUAAGUGUAGAUAGCCAGAUGUGACUAGCGGCUUCUGAAUUGGACGAUAUGGCCCUUAAUCCUUGUUUUGGGUCUAAAAUCACAAACUCU